AUUCAUUUGCAUCAUGGUUGUGUGAAGAAAGGAUAAAAAUUGUGAAAAGUGUAUGAAAUGGAAAAAGAAAGAAAAAAAAUGAAAUAGUGAUGAAAAGUGAAAGCCCGUGUGAGGCGAAUUAAGAAGGGAAAGAGAUCCCCAGGGUGAAAGACCCAAAAGUUUACCCCAGGAAGACUCCGAAUGGGGAAUGUAUUUGGGUGCGGACACGUAUCCUUCAGUGAAAACCUGAGAACAAUAGUGCAUUGUAUGACUGUGUGUCACACGUUCAUAUGCAUUCAUUUAAUGGUUGAAUGUUGUGGAAUUGUGU
rnacentral:lncRNA from 1 species